rnacentral:lncRNA from 1 species
AUGGGCAUCCCGCAGAUCAGCCAGGAGAUAGGGCUACUGAGCCCCUGGCCGGGGGCUGCCCCCACCCUCCGUCCGUGGGAAUUGUUCUGGGCUUUCCUGUUGACAAGCACUGGGGCCUGUGUCUGUCGGGAGCUGUAUCCUGGCCCGACCCCUCUGGGCCCCACGCCAGCACUGGAAGCAAGACCUCAGCAACCAUGCACUGGCCGGGCUCCACUGCCAGCCUUGCUGUCCCCAUGGGGCAAGGGUCAGAGCCCCCCGCCACCCCUGACCUGCUGGGGAAAGUCCUGCCUGGGGGAGGGGGCUUGGGUGGGUGCUGGGCUCACAUCUUUCCUGGGAGGGGCUGUUGGGUCACCUGCCCUGCAGCCUGCCUCUCCCCGACCACUCGGCUCUGCCCCCCCGCCCCCAGGAGAGCUCCAGCCCAUGCAGGAUGAGGGGCCCAACAGGGAGCAGCCCCCCACCGAGCCAGCCCCAGAGGGUGCAGUGUCCAACGGCGGCCUCCCUGGGGAGCCCCUGGACCCGGAGCAUGCACUGGGGGCCCAGCUGCGGCGUAUGGGCGACGCCUUCCACCAGGCCCACGAGAGGCAGUGGCAGGAGCGACAGGGAGCGCUCUGGGCCCGUUUCUGCCACUACCUCUCUCAGCUGCUGGGUGCCUUCUACAACAUGCCCCUGGAUGUGAUGCCUGAGCUGCAGCCGAACUAGCCCCUUGCAGGUCGGAGCCGGGGGGGAGGGGAGGGACCAGCCCCCCCAGCGUGGACUGCAGAGCCUCUUGGCAAAAUGUAGCAACUUCCAGAGCUCAUACCACCCUCGCCCCCCGGGCGAGCCAUGGCUCCUGCGGGCUGGGCCCCAGGCUGCUGCCCGACUAUAGGCACCCACUGUCUAUUUAUUUAUUUAUUUUCGAGUACUGACUGGGACCCCCGCACUGCAGGGCCCCAUGGCGGGGAGCAGCCUCCCCCCACUGUUCCUCAGGGAGCCCCACGCAGUUGUGGCGGGGGGCAGACACGCAUGUGACAGCCCCAGGCAUUGCCUCUGCCUCACCCCCGACUCCCCUCGGGACAGCGGGAAGAGCUGGACUCCGGCAGCAGCAGGGAGGGCGAACUCUGAAGUGGGCUCAGCCAGCCGUCCUGCUGCUUCCUCGCCAUGCCGCUGGGCAGCCUGAGGGGGGGGGACCCUGCCUGCCCCGUUGCCUCCCCACGCACAACUUGCUGCUGCGGCUCGGGGCAUGGCCAGCCCUGAGCCCAGCACUGCGCCCAGAUCAGGGCAGGGGGGGCCUAGCAGGGGCGGCUGGAGCACUGUACAUACUGUACAUAGUGACACUGUACAGACACUGGGCCACGCUGUACAUAGGGGGACAUUGUACAUACGGGGACACGCUUGCUGUACAUGAGCAGUGACUUUGGUUUUCUACGUUUCCUUUUCAAUAAAACUGGAUUUAAGCAAAGAGGCGUCUGCGUC